GAUCAUCCAAUCUCCAUUCGUCGGCGAGAGAAAGACGAAGAAGAAGGAAUCCAAGCCGAUAUGUCUCGAAACAUUUCAUACAUAACUGGCACUCAGCUUCUCUCCUUCAAACGCCGGCCAAAUGUCGCCAUCAUCGACGUUAGGGACGACGAGAGGAGUUACGAUGGUCAUAUUGCCGGAUCUCUGCACUUCGCUAGUGACAGUUUCUCCGAUAAGAUCUCUAAGCUUGUUCAAGAAGUGAAAGGGAAAGACACGCUUGUUUUCCACUGCGCUCUUAGCCAGGUUCGUGGCCCAAGUUGC
rnacentral:misc_RNA from 1 species